UACAGAGGGUGCGAGCGUUGUUCGGAAUUACUGGGCGUAAAGCGCGCGCAGGCGGCCCUUUAAGUCUGACGGUGAAAUGCCGGGGCUCAACCCCGUGCCCGCCGCGGAUACUGGAGGGCUGGAGACACGUAGAGGCAAGCGGAAUUCCGGGUGUAGCGGUGGAAUGCGUAGAGAUCCGGAAGAACACCGGAGGCGAAGGCGGCUUGCUGGGCGUAGUCUGACGCUGAGGCACGAAAGCGUGGGGAGCAAAUAGG
rnacentral:rRNA from 1 species